rnacentral:lncRNA from 1 species
GUCUGCACCACCAAGGGAAGGAAGGGAGGAGCUCUGCUGGCUUCCUGUGAGUGCCUGUGUGCAGGGUGCCUGGGACAAGACCAAAUGGGGCCCAGAGGGGACCUGAGCACCUGGAAGGCAGGAGCCUGGGGAGGGAAUAAGGUAAACUGUCCCAGGUGGGCUCAGGGUGUCACAGAGGGGCAGGGCUGGAGGGGAGCCCUUUUCAUGGGCCCAGCUAGAUGGGCCAGUGUCCUCCAGGACCAGGUGGCCCAUGCUCCCCUGGAUGAACAGUAACCCAAGCUUGCCACAUGCACAACAGAGACCCCAGUUAAACCAGAGGGAACCAGCACCAAGAGGAGGAGGAGGAGGAGCCAGGGGGUCAUGCCGCUCCUGGCUCCCAACCUGUCCUUCCUUUCCAAACACUGGAGUCCAACCCGCCCCGCCCUGUCCAACCUCCAGAUGGCAGCUUUAAGGCUCUGGGAGCAGGUGGGAAAGCCGAGAGGGUCUGCUCUGCCCUUCCCCUGGUCUGGCGUCUGGAGCAUUUGGGGCCAGUCACCCCUAGCAAGGCCACAGGAUGGCAUCCAGUGGAGGUGCUCCCUCCAUGGGCAUUGCCACAUAGCCUCAGUCCCCCGCUCAGUUGUCAGAGCAGGGCUGGGAGACAGCACAGCCUUCGCAGGCCUCAGGCAAAUCAGCCAGUGGCUUGUCAGGUGGCCCCUCGGCCCACAUCAAGCCACCCUCUCUAGGCGGGGGUCUCCCUCUACCCUGAGCCAUGUAAGCAUGCAUGGCUCAGCAGGAAGCCAGGUGGGCCUCACCCCCAGGAGCCUGGGCUCUGUUCCCUACAGGGUCCAAGGAAUCAGGCCCAGGCCAGCAGCAACAUGCCCGUAGUUUCAGAUUAUGCAAUGGUGUGGGAGCUUGCACCCCACUUCCUAGAAAGUGCCCCCAGGCCACCAGGUACCUGGAGCCUCUCCACGAGGAAGGGGUCAGGCAGCCAGCCCAAGGCAGAUGCUCAGAGAACAGAGGUCCUUGACCUCAGACCCGGCACCUUGCACCAGACUCAGGAUUCCUGAGAAACUGUCUGGGAGUCCUACUUCCAUGUCACCUGAGCUCUGUGCACUCAGCAGCAGCAGGUGGACACAAUAGGUCUACAAGACCCAGCCAGUGUUGCAGAUCUGCCAGUGUGCACAGGUCCCCCCGCCGCAGCUCAUGCUGCCUGCCUGUGCUAGCAGCCCUGGCCGUGGCCCCUCAGGCACGUCUGGGCAGUGCCUGCGCUCUGUGGAGCAGGAAGACCUCAUCUGGGGCUUGUGAGGUCCCAGAGAAACAGAAGUAGCUGCUUCUGUUUCAUGAGUGAGGAGGUUUAGAGCACCUGCCGAACCCCUGCUGAGAGGGCAGCCCCCAGGACUGUUCUCCCCAGCACCUGGGAGGAGAAGGGAGCUGUCCUCAUGCCACAGUUCAGGCUCGGGCCCCCUCCCCUGGACACAAAAUACCUGGUAGGCCGAGCUGCCACUGCUGCCCUCCCUCCCAUGACCCUCCCUCAGACAACAGACUCUCCCUCUGUCCCCUCACUGAACACAUUUUUGGGGAAAGAGGCUUAAAUUCACUCACAGCAAGGUGUCAAGGACUGAUAAAGUCCAAGGACGUUUCAAAAACAGCCCAAAGCUGGACACAAUGGAACAUUCCUGUAAUCCCAGGGACUUGAGAGGCCAAGGCAGAAGGACCACAAGUUCAACACAAGUCCAGCCUGAACAAUUUAGUGAGACCAUAUCUCAAAAUAAAAAGCAAAAUGAGUCGGGCAUGGUGGCAUGUGCCUGUGACCCCAGUUAUUCAGGAGGCUGAGGCAGGAGGAACACGAAUUCAAGAUCAGCCUCAAAAAAUAAAUAAAAUGGGCUAGGCUCGUAGCUCAGUGGCAGAGCCCUCCUGGGCUCAACCUGAGUACAGCAAAACAAAAACAAAAGUGGCCCAAGGGAUGUCUCUAAGUGCAGACUCUGGGAAGCAGUUGGGGUAGUUUGUGCAGGGUAACAGGAAGACCUAGGGUGGCCUCCCGGGCAGAACCUCAGGCAAAGGAAGCGGAUAGGACCCUGAGCCCUGGGCUCGGACUUUCUCUCCAUCUGUGGAACAGGAAGAGGAGCUGAGGCCGGUGAGGCUCUUUGCCGACCUGUGCCUCCCUGACCCUAGGAGCACCUGGAGAUGGGAAGCGGGUGCACACGUGUGUGAGGAGUGGGCCACUGGGAAUUGG